AUUGAACGCUGGCGGCAGGCCUAACACAUGCAAGUCGAGCGGUAGAGAGAAGCUUGCUUCUCUUGAGAGCGGCGGACGGGUGAGUAAUGCCUAGGAAUCUGCCUGGUAGUGGGGGAUAACGUUCGGAAACGGACGCUAAUACCGCAUACGUCCUACGGGAGAAAGCAGGGGACCUUCGGGCCUUGCGCUAUCAGAUGAGCCUAGGUCGGAUUAGCUAGUUGGUGAGGUAAUGGCUCACCAAGGCGACGAUCCGUAACUGGUCUGAGAGGAUGAUCAGUCACACUGGAACUGAGACACGGUCCAGACUCCUACGGGAGGCAGCAGUGGGGAAUAUUGGACAAUGGGCGAAAGCCUGAUCCAGCCAUGCCGCGUGUGUGAAGAAGGUCUUCGGAUUGUAAAGCACUUUAAGUUGGGAGGAAGGGCAGUAACCUAAUACGUUAUUGUUUUGACGUUACCGACAGAAUAAGCACCGGCUAACUCUGUGCCAGCAGCCGCGGUAAUACAGAGGGUGCAAGCGUUAAUCGGAAUUACUGGGCGUAAAGCGCGCGUAGGUGGUUUGUUAAGUUGGAUGUGAAAGCCCCGGGCUCAACCUGGGAACUGCAUCCAAAACUGGCAAGCUAGAGUAUGGUAGAGGGUGGUGGAAUUUCCUGU
rnacentral:rRNA from 1 species